CACCGAACUUCUCCGCACCUACACGGAGAGCGGCGGGAUAAACUAUCUCGACGCGGCGGCGAUGCUGCCCUCGCGGCCCGCGAUCGAAUUGGCGUGCGUCGACUUGAUGAGCCUCAUGUUUCCCGGAUUUCAUGGAGAGGCUCUGGCUGAUUCCAGCGAUCUGCCCGAUGUGACCCGGAGCCGGAUCAAAAAACUGCAUAUCCGCAUGAAGCCGGAGAUUUCCAAAAGCUUCAAUGAGCUCGAUCGCGACGCA
rnacentral:misc_RNA from 1 species